rnacentral:lncRNA from 1 species
GGUCGACUGGCUGAUUUUGAGAAGAAUUUUCGGCCAGACUGGCUGAAAUUAGGGCCAACUGUUGGGUGGGGUUUGUAGACAACAUUGCGGGCUUCAAGUUGGUAAUAUGAUCCGGUGGCUAUGGUGGCCGGAAAGUGGUGGUUUGACCCUCCUUAGGUGGCAUGGAGUUGAUGGUUGAUAGUGGUGGCGAUAUUCAGAGAUAAGAGUUGAAUUUAGGGUUCGAAGUGAACGCGUUUUUGAGUUUCGUGUUUUGAGAAAUAGUUUUCUAAAAUAACAAAAAGAACGCGUUUUUAAUAUUCUCAAAAUGGACACUCAAAACACAAAAUUCAAAAUGAAUUCAAAACUCAAAAACACAAAACUGAAACACAAAGAGAACAUGGCCU